CCUACGGGAGGCAGCAGUGGGGAAUAUUGCACAAUGGGGGAAACCCUGAUGCAGCGACGCCGCGUGAGUGAAGAAGUAAUUCGUUAUGUAAAGCUCUAUCAGCAGGGAAGAAAAUGACGGUACCUGAGUAAGAAGCCCCGGCUAACUACGUGCCAGCAGCCGCGGUAAUACGUAGGGGGCAAGCGUUAUCCCGAUUUACUGGGGGGAAAGGGAGCGUAGACGGCGGUGCAAGUCUGGAGUGAAAGGCGAGGGCCCAACCCCCGGACUGCUCUGGAAACUGUACGGCUGGAGUGCAGGAGAGGUAAGUGGAAUUCCUAGUGUAGCGGUGAAAUGCGUAGAUAUUAGGAGGAACACCAGUGGCGAAGGCGGCUUACUGGACUGUAACUGACGUUGAGGCUCGAAAGCGUGGGGAGCAAACAGGAUUAGAUACCCCAGUAGUC
rnacentral:rRNA from 1 species